rnacentral:rRNA from 1 species
CCUACGGGAGGCAGCAGUGGGGAAUUUUGGACAAUGGGGGCAACCCUGAUCCAGCCAUUCCGCGUGAGUGAAGAAGGCCUUCGGGUUGUAAAGCUCGUUCAGCUGGAACGAAACGGUACGGGCUAAUACCCUGUGCUAAUGACGGUACCAGCAGAAGAAGCACCGGCUAACUACGUGCCAGCAGCCGCGGUAAU